rnacentral:rRNA from 1 species
ACGUAGGAGGCAAACGUUAUCCGGAUUUACUGGGCGUAAAGCGCGUGUAGGUGGUUUGGUAAGUAGAGCGUGAAAGCUCCUGGCUCAACUGGGAGAGGUCGUUCUAAACUGCCGGACUAGAGGAUGGUAGAGGGAGGUGGAAUUCCGGGUGUAGCGGUGAAAUCCGCAAAUCUCCGGAGGAACACCUGUGGCGAAAGCGCCCUCCUGGACCAAACCUGACACUCAGACGCGAAAGCUAGGGUAGCAAACGG